rnacentral:rRNA from 1 species
UCUAGAAGUAAAAAGGUAAUAUCUCUGGAGAAACUUUUACCCGUUGACGGCCUCUUUUCUAAUCAAAGGAACUUGUUAAGGCAUCGAAACUACCCGAUUAUUUUUACUUCUUUCCAAAGUUUUUAUACCGUCGUCUUAAGGGGAAGCUUCACAGCAUUCCCCAAAAUUAACAAAUUAAAUAAGUCAGAUCAAGGUGAAGCCUAUAAAGAAGCACUUUAUGAGUUAUUCAUAAAAAAGAUUUAGGGAAAUUGAUGUAAACCCGUAAAAUGAAUUAAGAUUUGAAAGUACACCAUUAUUAAAAUUGUUAGUGGAAUUUGAAAAAAAAGGUGU